rnacentral:SRP_RNA from 3 species
UCCGGCUAGUGUUGGGCACUUAAUUUGUUUAGUUGGUCAGGUUCGAAAGAAAGCAGCCAGAGCAAACCGUAAGUGGGUCGGCACUAGCUUUAACU